rnacentral:rRNA from 1 species
GACGAACGCUGGCGGCGUGCUUAACACAUGCAAGUCGAACGGAAAGGCCCUGCUUUUGUGGGGUGCUCGAGUGGCGAACGGGUGAGUAACACGUGAGUAACCUGCCCUUGACUUUGGGAUAACUUCAGGAAACUGGGGCUAAUACCGGAUAGGAGCUCCUGCUGCAUGGUGGGGGGUGGAAAGUUUCGGCGGUUGGGGAUGGACUGGCGGCUUAUCAGCUUGUUGGUGGGGUAGUGGCUUACCAAGGCUUUGACGGGUAGCCGGCCUGAGAGGGUGACCGGCCACAUUGGGACUGAGAUACGGCCCAGACUCCUACGGGAGGCAGCAGUGGGGAAUAUUGCACAAUGGGCGGAAGCCUGAUGCAGCAACGCCGCGUGCGGGAUGACGGCCUUCGGGUUGUAAACCGCUUUCGCCUGUGACGAAGCGUGAGUGACGGUAAUGGGUAAAGAAGCACCGGCUAACUACGUG